AUUGUCAUUGGGUUUAUUGAAAGCUCUGGCUAAAGGUAGUUACACUCAGUUUUUAAAUCAUGAAGGUCUUCGUCUUAUUUCUAUGCAUGUUUGUACUCUCUGUUGCUAAUGCAAAGCCAUCACCGGAAGACAUAGAACUAGUAUUUUCUGACAGAUCGAUAGAAGGGGCAAGCAGCGAAUCU
rnacentral:sRNA from 1 species